rnacentral:piRNA from 1 species
UACAUUUGCUAUUCAAUCCAC